UAAGGAAUAUUGGUCAAUGGACGCAAGUCUGAACCAGCCAUGCCGCGUGAAGGAUGAAGGUCCUCUGGAUUGUAAACUUCUUUUAUCUGGGACGAAAACGGGAUUUUUAUCUCAAUUGACGGUACCAGAGGAAUAAGCACCGGCUAACUCCGUGCCAGCAGUCGCGGUAAUACGGAGGGUGCGAGCGUUAUCCGGAUUUACUGGGUUUAAAGGGUGCGUAGGUGGGCUUAUAAGUCAGUGGUGAAAUCUCCGAGCUUAACUUGGAAACUGCCGUUGAUACUAUAGGUCUUGAAUUAUCUGGAGGUAAGCGGAAUAUGUCAUGUAGCGGUGAAAUGCUUAGAUAUGACAUAGAACACCAAUUGCGAAGGCAGCUUACUACAUAUAAAUUGACGCUGAGGCACGAAAGCGUGGGGAUCAAACA
rnacentral:rRNA from 1 species